AAAAUAUAUAAAUCAAAUUAAAUUUUAAUUAGAGUAAUUAUUGCUUUGUGAAAAUCAAUUAUAAUUGUAAUUAACCAUGUAAUAUUUUGUUUUGUAAUUAAGUUAGAUAAUUGGCUAGUAGUAGUAGGGUAGAAUUGGCUGGCAAGCAUGCAUUGGCCCCAUUGUUUGACUCUUGUGUAGAUGUUAACAUCCCCAUAAAAAAUUACCAUCAUAAUUAUAAAUUUAUGCGUGAGACUAAUCUCAAUUUUAACUGGAAUAACAUUUAUUAAUUGAUUGAAUGUAUAUAUUUAAAUAUAAGUAAAACUUACUUUUCUUAUACGGUAUGAAAA
rnacentral:misc_RNA from 1 species